rnacentral:rRNA from 1 species
CCUACGGGAGGCAGCAGUCGAGAAUCAUUCACAAUGGGGGAAACCCUGAUGGUGCGACGCCGCGUGGGGGAAUGAAGGUCUUCGGAUUGUAAACCCCUGUCAUGUGGGAGCAAAUUAAAAAGAUAGUACCACAAGAGGAAGAGACGGCUAACUCUGUGCCAGCAGCCGCGGUAAUACAGAGGUCUCAAGCGUUGUUCGGAAUCACUGGGCGUAAAGCGUGCGUAGGCUGUUUCGUAAGUCGUGUGUGAAAGGCCCGGGCUCAACCCGCGGACGGCACAUGAUACUGCGAGACUAGAGUAAUGGAGGGGGAACCGGAAUUCUCGGUGUAGCAGUGAAAUGCGUAGAUAUCGAGCGGAACACUCGUGGCGAAGGCGGGUUCCUGGACCUUAACUGACGCUGAGGCACGAAGGCCAGGGGAGCGAAAGGGAUUAGAUACCCCAGUAGUC